AAAAAUCAGUCUUAACAAAAAAAGAGAAUCACAAAAAAAAAAUCACUCGAACCCUAGGAACUCCCUUCUCCCUUCUCCCAUCGAAACAAUCCUCUCUGAAUCACCACCACGACCAUCACCACCGUCCUCUCUCAUCCGCCAGCCAUCUCCACCUUCUCUCUGUCUACCUCGUCUCUUCCUUGUCACCACGGUUCCUCUCCACCGUCUCCUCAUGUCGUAAUCUCUCUUUCUCUCUUUUUUUUCCUCUGGUCAAAACUUCUUUGAUUUCUCCAUCCUGAUCUAUUUUGUGAGUCAAUUUUGGCAUAUUAUGAUGAAAGCUUGUUAGUGGUGGGGUGUUGAUGUUGCCGUAAUCUCCUCCUCGUCACAACCGCUCAUCUCCUCCUCUUCUCCUUCUAUGUUCGUGACAGGCCCACUGUAAUCAAUAAACACGUUUCUUCAAGAAUCUGAUGACCAGAUUCAAGGUUAUUCUAAAGGUAGGAAGGAAACGAAGGCUAGAUAGAUAUAGUAAAGAAAACCAACAGGCAUCCAUUCUUGGAGCCAAGACCAAUGGCUAAAAAGUCACUGAAUCGUCUUCUGUAGAACUUUUGUAAAAGUUUGGUAGGAGUACAGAAUUGUUGAAGCUAGAAGAUUUGAUUGAACAACUUAAUGCUAGAACUGUAGCCGUUUCACCAUUCUCGUAUGAUGUUAAGAGGGAAGACGUGGAAGCCUUCUUCAGUCAGUAUGGAAAGUGUGAGGGUGUUUUGUGGUGUUGCCUUGGUUGAGUUCCCUACUGGAGAGAAUGCCCAAAAUUUUAUGAAGCAAAGUUUGGUCUUUGCUGGUCUCGAGUUUUUAAGUUGAUCAGUCUUCUGAAAAAGCAUGGUGUCUCUGAAAGCAAGGUUUAUGCGUAUAUAGGUGGGAAGAGCGUUGGAUGAUGGUUCUAGUAAUCACUCUUUUCCCUUUUAAAGUAAUGCGCCCAGGCCGCUUGUACCUCCUGGUUUUGCUAGCACAAUUUCAGAAAGAGCAAGGGGCAAAACCUCAAUGAGGAGACAGAACCUAACUUCGACUUCCAUGGAGUUCUACCUUGUCCAACGGAGUACAUGGCUGUGGGCGUCAAGGAGAGGUAGCAGAAGCGGUGUGUGCCUGGAAGACAGCCACCUCGGAGUUCUGUGAGGAAGAAGAAGAUCAGUGAAAUCCAGAGAGGAGGAGGCUUGAAGAUUGAAGAUUGAUCCUUAGGUUUAGUUUUUUUUUCUAGGUUUACUUUAUUUUCUAAUUCUGAUUUGUUUUUGUAAACCAGAAUUUACUUGUAAACAAGAAAUAGAUUAAUAAAUAAAAUUUAAUUUUUAAUUAUAAA